rnacentral:rRNA from 1 species
UACGAAGGGGGGCUAGCGUUGUUCGGAAUCACUGGGCGUAAAGCGCACGUAGGCGGAUCUUUAAGUCAGGGGUGAAAUCCCGAGGCUCAACCUCGGAACUGCCUUUGAUACUGGCGACCUAGAGUUCGGAAGAGGUUAGUGGAAUUCCCAGUGUAGAGGUGAAAAUUCGUAGAUAUUGGGAAGAACACCAGUGGCGAAGGCGGCUAACUGGUCCGAUACUGACGCUGAGGUGCGAAAGCGUGGGGAGCAAAACAGG